UAAAAUUUGGUUCGAAUUAUCAAAGUGUCUGAACGAUGGAAAUUCAACAUUCAGGAUUUAAGUGGCAGCAGUAAAAGUUUUCGAAAUACCAAGUUUGUUAGUUGCCAGACCACAGUGAAUCAUGCUGUGAUAAGCCGGACACUGACAGGGGCACGAAAAGUCGUAUGAAGUUUGAAAUUCUAGAAGUAAUGCCGUGAAAACACUUGAUGUGCAACACAUCACUGUUUCUUUAGUUGGAAAAUAGAAUAAACGUACUGCUACGUUCACAGUGCACUUGAGAGGGCCGCGUUUAGGUGCCAACCCGUGCGCAGCAAUUUUUUUUUUUUUUUUCUUUCAGGGCGUGGGGUGUGGGGACCUCUGCACCAUUCGAGGCAGUUUUUUUCCGCCUUAAAAUACAUGUUCUUGCAGUGUUUGUACCAGUUUCAUUAUUACCUGGCAAUUACUAACAUUUGUUGAGGGUGCUUGUUCUUGAUCAGCAGUACUAGGCACGAGUGGCCUAGUGUACUUUUUUUUUUUUUUUUUCCUCGCCGGCCGGCGCGUCGUGAUACUCGUGCACAAUAAAACAAACGCAUGCAGUGCAUUAACCAAUCAACGAGUGAAAUUAUUUUGUUUUUGGGGUCCCGCGAGUCGCAUUACCUGAUGCUACGCAAUAUAUGGGCAGCUCUUUCGAACUGCGUAAUUUGGCAGCUUCCACGCCGCCAUUUGAAAUCGGGGGAAGGCACACUCAUUGAAUACUCAAGCUCGAGUCGUCUGAAGUUGACAGCAAGGUUGCGGUACAGCUUCCCGCCCAAGAUUGAAUCACCACGUGAUAGAUGAUGCAUUAAAUAAACGGCUUUGUUAAGAGUUCAUUGAACACAAAGUAAAACACUGUCCGCGUCCUCAGCAAAACGCCGGGCGUUUUUUCAAAUGGACUCUCUGUCGACUAAAAUAACCUGUAAUGUGCUCUACCGGCACAUUGCACAUAAAAGUUUUACAUUACUUGACCUCUCAUCGCGUUUUGUCUCAGCCGAAAGCAGAGGCAAGUGUCUCAUAACACCUGCGCCAGCAGAUGUGCUACCGCCGGAACAAAGGCUACGCCUUAACGUGCGUUUCAAUGAACAAUUAAACGCUGAUUGCGCUUACUUAAGCUCUAUGUGCUUUGUCGCAUCGCGCUGAGCUAAUGAUUGACUUCAUUCUUACGACAAACGAAGCAACCUUGCUGAACCAGCCACAAGUACAACACGAGUGUUUGAUAAGAGGUACAAUAAAGUGUCAAGGGAUUGGCUUCCCCCUUGAGAGACAGCCUCACAUUUGUCACCAGUUGGCUUUCCCUUGGUCCGGUGUGCACUGUCAAUGAUGGCCUCCAGGCAGCGGCCGAACUCCUCCAGCACCGUGCGCUCUACAUCAGCAAAAGGCCUC